rnacentral:rRNA from 1 species
GUUUGACCUCGGAUCAGGUAGGAAUACCCGCUGAACUUAAGCAUAUCAAUAAGCGGAGGAAAA